GGGGCGGUAGCUCAAUGGCAGAGCGAUCGCAUCGCAUGCGAUAGGUUGAGGGUUCAACUCCCUCCCGCUCCA
rnacentral:tRNA from 1 species